rnacentral:rRNA from 1 species
GAUGAACGCUAGCGACAGGCUUAAAACAUGCAAGUCGCGGGGUAGCAGGGGGUAGCAAUACUUUGCUGACGACCGGCUCACGGGUGAGUAACGCGUAUGCAACUUACCUAUCAGAGUGGGAUAACCCGGCGAAAGUCGGACUAAUACCGCAUAAAACAGGGGUCCCGCAUGGGAAUAUUUGUUAAAGAUUUAUUGAUGAUAGAUAGGCAUGCGUUCCAUUAGGCAGUUGGCGGAGUCACGGCCCACCAAACCGACGAUGGAUAGGGUUUCUGGGAUGAUAGUCCCCCACAUUGGUACUGAGUCACGGACCAAACUCCUACGGGAGGCAGCAGUGAGGAAUAUUGGUCUAUGGUCACGAGCCUGAACCAGCCAAGUCGCGUUAAGGAUGAUGGUUAUAUGGAUUGUAAACUUCUUUUAUUAGGUAAUAAAGUGCAGGACGUGUCCUGUUUUGUAUGUACCCAACGAAUAAGCUUCGGCUAACACCGUGCCAGCAGCCGCAGUAA